rnacentral:rRNA from 1 species
AUGGAGAAGACGGCCCUGAGCGUUGGCAAGUCCGUGCUGAAUGGAGCGAUUAGAUACGCCACAUCCGCCCUGGCAGAGGAGGUGGCUCUGCAGCUCGGACGGCGCGACCAGGUAUUCAUCACCAAUGAGCUCGAGAUGAUGCAGGCUUUCCUUGAGUCUGCUCAUGACGAGGGAGAUGGCAACAGGGUGGUCAAGGUCUGGGUGAAGCAAGUCCGCGACGUAGCCUACGACGUCGAGGACACACUCCAGGAGUUCGCCGUGCGCCUCCAGAAGCAAUCUUGGUGGCGUAUCCGUCGCAACCUACUCGACCGGCGUCGUGUGGCAAUGCAGAUGAAGGACCUCAGAGCCAAUGUUGAGGAUGUCAGCCAGAGAAACAUGCGCUACAGUCUCAUCAAGGGCUCUGGAUCCAAGGCCGCCAUGGCUUCAGAGCAGUCUAGCAUUACUUCUGCAGCACUGUUUGGCAUCGAUGAAGCAAGGCAUGCAAUGAAGCAGGAGAAAUCAAAAGUAGAACUUGUCCAGCUCCUCAACGAGAAGGAGAAUGACCUUAGGGUAAUUGCAGUGUGGGGAACAAGUGGUGAUCUCGGGCAGACUUCCAUCAUCAGGACGGUGUAUGAGGAUCCAGAUAUUAAAAGCAAGUUCUCAUGCCGAGCUUGGGUCAGAGUGAUUCAUCCUUUUAAUCCAAAAGAUUUUGUUCAGAGUUUGGUGCAGCAGUUUGAUGCAGCCCUAGGGGUUGAUGCUCUGUUGAAAAUGGAGAAGACAUUGCAAGAGUUGGCUGAAGAGUUUAAUAGAUAUGUGAACAGUAAAAGGUACCUGAUUGUACUUAAUGACCUGUCCACUCUUGAGGAGUGGGAUCUGAUCAAAAGGUGCUUCCCAGACAAGACAAUGGGGAGCAGGAUCAUAGUGUCCACAGCUCAAGUUGAAGUUGCAAGAUUAUGUGCAGCGCGGGAAAGCAUAGUAUCAGUGCUUAGGUGCAUGUCUGCUGAUCAGCGUAUUUAUGCUUUCCACGAGAAGGUCUCUCAAGAUGGAAGAGGUUUAGAGUCAAGCGCAGAUCAUGUCACUACGACUACAAAUAACAACUCUAUAGUGCCCACUGGUGGAGCUGCUGAAAAAAAUACCAUAAAAAAGAGCUUGACUCGCGCCAGGACAAUGAUGAAUGCUUUGGAGGAAUCUCAUCUUAUUGGGCGAGAGAAAGAAAAAUAUGAGAUUAUCAAGCUUAUUUCAAAUCAAGCUACCCAAGAAUACCAGGUGAUCUCUGUGUGGGGAAUGGGUGGUCUAGGAAAGACCACUCUAGUCAAAGAUAUCUACGAAAACCAAGAGCUGGGUAGCACAUUUGAGAAGCGUGCUUGUGUCACAGUUAUGCGUCCUUUCAAUCUUGAAGUUCUUCUUAGGAGCUUAAUUAUGCAACUAGAUAGAGAAUCUUCAGAUAAGAAAGACGUGGUCAGUUUGAUGGGCAAGAGAAGGAACACAUUACUAUUGAUGCCACUAAUAGCACUUAUUAAGGAGAUGGAAAGUCUUUUAGAAGGAAAGAGGUGCUUGAUUGUUCUUGAUGAUGUAUCAUCUACUGCAGAAUGGAACAUGAUAGUACCAAAUUUCCAUGGAAUGGAACAUACAAGCCGGAUCGUGGUCACCACAAGGGAAGAAAAUAUAGCUAAACUUUGUUCACAGAGACAAGAAAAUAUAUACAUGCUCAAAGAUCUAGAACACAAGGAUGCACGUGACCUCUUCACUAAAAAGGUAUUCAAGAAGACUACUGAUUUGAAUUUGCAAUAUCCAGAGCUAGUUGAACAGACAGAACAGAUUCUUAGAAGGUGUGGUCGACUCCCCCUUGCAAUAGUCACCAUAGGUGGCUUCUUGUCGAACCAACCUAAAACCUCUUUGGAAUGGAGGAAAUUGAAUGAUAAUAUCAAUUCUGAGUUGGAGAUUAAUCCAGAGCUUGGGACCAUUAGAACUAUCCUGAUGAGAAGCUAUGAUGGUUUACCUUAUCACCUCAAGUCAUGUUUCCUAUAUAUGCCCAUCUUUCCUGAAGAUUACAAGAUUGGCCGGGGCCGCUUGGCACGUCGGUGGAGUGCAGAGGGUUAUUCAAGGGAGGUGCGGGGCAGGUCUGCAGAGGAAAUAGCGGACAACUACUUCAUGGAACUUAUAAGCAGGAGUAUGAUCCUACCAUCUCAACAAUCAAUUCAAAGUACAAAAGGAAUAGAUUCCUGCCAAGUCCACGAUCUUAUCCGUGAAAUUGGUGUCUCAAAGUCGAUGGAAGAAAAUCUUGUUUUUACACUUGAGGAAGGUUGCAGCUCAAAUAGCCAGGCCACGGUGCGCCACCUGGCUAUAAGCAGCAACUGGAAAGGAAACAAGACCGAGUUUGAGAGCAUAGUGGACAUGUCCCGUCUACGGUCAAUCACAUGUUUCGGAGAGUGGAAGGCAUUUUUUGUUUGUGACAAGAUGAGGUUGCUACGAGUGCUGGACCUGGAAGACGCAACCGGUCUACAUGAUCAUCACCUUAAGCACAUCGGGAAGUUUCUUCACCUAAGAUACCUUUCUCUAAGAGGAUGUGAUAUUGUUCACCUUCCAGAUUCAUUGGGCAACCUGAGACAGCUUGAGACACUAGACAUUAGAGGUACCAAAAUAAUGAUGCUGCCAAAGUCAAUCGUCAAGCUACGGAAGCUAAACAAUCUUCGUGCUGGGAGGAUUCUGCUGGAUGAGGAUGCCUCACUAGAACUGAUAGAGGAUUAUUUGCCAGAGGUAUUGAAGAACGGGCCAUGCAAUUUAUUUUUCUGGAUGGUGUUAUCUUGUUAUGCCUGUUUACUGUCUUCCAAUGAUACUGACCUGAGCCACCGAGCUAUAUGCACUUUGUUCUGCUGCUCCAUAUUCCCUGCUGCGUUGAUGCGCCUGGAACUAAAUGGGGUUCUAGUGCCAAGAGGAAUGAGGAAACUAGAAGCCCUGCGUACACUGGGUGUUGUGAACAUUGGGCGACGGGGAAAGGAUGUUGUAAAGGACAUAAAACGGCUUGUUCGUCUGCGUAAGUUGGGAGUGACCGGCAUCAAUAAGAGAAACGGGCAAGAGCUAUGUUCUGCAGUUGUUGGCCUGAGCCGUCUGGAAUCAUUGUUGAUACGGUCAGAGGGGGAGCCAGGUUUAUGUGGCUGCUUGGAGGGAAAGUUCACGUUUCCAGAGACACUGCAGAGCCUCAAGUUGUAG